GAUGAAGAACGUAGCGAAAUGCGAUACGUAAUGUGAAUUGCAGAAUUCAGUGAAUCAUCGAAUCUUUGAACGCAUAUUGCGCUCUCUGGUAUUCCGGAGAGCAUGCUUGUUUGAGUAUCAGUAAACACCUCAACUCCCUUUUCUUUUUUGAAAUUGGAGCUGGACUUGAGUGAUCCCAACGCUUUCUUCCAAGAAAGUGGCGGGUUGCUUGAAAUGCAGGUGCAGCUGAACUUUUCUCUGAGCUAUAAGCAUAGCUAUUUAGUCUGCCUAAAAAACAGAUUAUUACCUUUGCUGCAGCUAACAUAAAGGAGACUAGUUCUUGUGCUGACUGAUGCAGGAUUCACAGAGACAGCUUCGGCUGACUUUGUAAACUCGAUCUCAAAUCAAGUAAGACUACCCGCUGAACUUAAGCAUAUCAAUAAGCGGAGGA
rnacentral:misc_RNA from 1 species